GCCUAGCUUCCUUCACAACUGUUGAGCUCUGGCUUCUUAAAGCCUAAGUGGCUGUUCAACAGCUACUAACGCUUCAGUGCUUUGCAAAAGCACUCGCCAGGUAUCCUUUCAAUAUUAUUAUGAAAUAACGUUGCGAAAAUCAUGCGCGCGCUUAGUCCUUGAUCAAGAAAUCUCUUGGCGCUGUUCCCCGCGAAGCUUAUUUUCCGCCCACUGCGGCGGGCACGGGCUGACUUUUCCCCGUUUCUUAGGCCUGGCCUCUUGACAAUUACCCCGCAUAUAGAUUCCAACAAAGAUUAUAGAUCUAAUCAUCCCGCAACAUGAUCAAACUGCUGUCGGAAAUCUAGCAACUACCCUGAACGCAGUUCGAACUCUCGUCACCUCCCACUUUUCCACUUAUCAAUAUGCCUCUGAUCGUGCAGAAUGUCAAACCUCGCGUCAUUCUGGGUUUGAUGACUUUUGGUCCUGAUACUGAGGCAGGCGCACGCAUCACUUCCCUAGAUGACUACAAAAAAUGUCUAGACUAUUUCCAGCAGCAAGGCUAUAACGAAAUUGAUACUGCCCGCACCUACGUUGACGGGAAACAGGAAGCCUUUACAGCCCAAGCGGGCUGGAAGGAGCGGGGCCUCACCAUAGCGACCAAAUGGUAUCCUAAAGAACCAGGCCACCACCACGCCAAUGUUGUGAAAGAGAAACUCAAUCAGUCUCUGAAAGAGUUGCAAACAGAUUGCGUUGAUAUUUUUUAUUUGCAUGCAGCGGAUAGAUCGGUCCCCUUCGCAGAGACGUUAGAGGCUGUCAACGAGCUCCAUAAGGAAGGGAAAUUUGUGGAACUUGGAUUGAGUAAUUAUGCAGCCUUUGAAGUUGCGGAAAUUGUCACUAUGUGCAAUGAGCGCGGUUGGGUUAGACCAACAAUCUAUCAGGCAAUGUAUAAUGCCAUCACCCGCUCGAUUGAAUCAGAACUCAUCCCCGCCUGCAGACGCUUCGGUAUCGACGUGGUAAUUUACAACCCGCUAGCCGGCGGCCUCUUAUCUGGUAAAUACAAAACCACCGAAAUACCAGCUACCGGCCGUUUUGCGAACCCAUCCUUAGGCGCUAUGUACCGCAAACGAUACUUCAGAGAUGCGAACCUCGACGCUCUGCAUAUCAUUGAGCCGGUCGUGCAGAAGCAUAAUUUAACGCUAGUCGAGACCGCACUCCGCUGGGUGCAUCAUCACUCUGCGUUGAAUAUUGGAACCGGAUCGUCAUCGCGCGAUGGAAUUAUCAUUGGCGUGGGCAGCUUUGAGCAGCUGCAGGCGAAUUUAGCGGAUAU
rnacentral:sRNA from 1 species